UACGUAGGGGGCAAGCGUUGUCCGGAUUUAUUGGGCGUAAAGAGCGUGUAGGCGGCCAGGUAGGUCCGUUGUGAAAACUCGAGGCUCAACCUCGAGACGUCGGCGGAAACCCUCUGGCUAGAGUCCGGAAGAGGCGAGUGGAAUUCCUGGUGUAGCGGUGGAAUGCGCAGAUAUCAGGAGGAACACCAACGGCGAAGGCAGCUCGCUGGGACGGUACUGACGCUGAGGCGCGAAAGCGUGGGGAGCGAACAGG
rnacentral:rRNA from 1 species